UGGCGGACGGGUGGAGUAAUGUCUGGGAAACUAGCCUGGUGGAGGGGGAGUAACUACUGGAAACGGUAGCUAAUACCGCAUAACGUCGCAAGACCAAAGAGGGGGACCUUCGGGCCUCUUGCCAUCGGAUGUGCCCAGAUGGGAUUAGCUAGUAGGUGGGGUAACGGCUCACCUAGGCGACGAUCCCUAGCUGGUCUGAGAGGAUGACCGGCCACACUGGAACUGAGACACGGUCCAGACUCCUACGGGAGGCAGCAUG
rnacentral:rRNA from 1 species